GACGAACGCUGGCGGCGUGCUUAAUACAUGCAAGUAGAACGCAGAGGGAGGAGUUUGCUUCUCUGGACGAGUUGCGAACGGGUGAGUAACGCGUAGGUAACCUGCCUGGUAGUGGGGGAUAACUAUUGGAAACGAUAGCUAAUACCGCAUAAUAGCAGUUGUUGUAUGACAACUGUUUGAAAGGUGCAAUUGCUGGACUACCAGACGGACCUGCGGUGCAUUUGCUAGUUGGUGGGGUAUCGGCACACUAAGGCGACGAUCCAUAGCCGACCUGAGAUGGGGGUCGGCCAGACUGAGACUGAGACAGGGCCCAGACGCCUACGGGAGGCAGCAGGAGUGAUUCGGCAGCAAUGAGCGGAAGUCUGACCGAGCAGCGCCGCGUGAUGGAAGAAGGUUUUCGCGUCGGAGAGCUCUGUUGUAAGAGAGGAACGAGUGUGAGCGUGUAAAGUUCACACAGUGACGGUAUCUGACCAGAAAGGGACGGCUAACUACGUG
rnacentral:rRNA from 1 species